rnacentral:rRNA from 1 species
GGCAGUGGGAGCUGCAGCCCGGAGUUGGGACUGAGACAAGGCCCCAGGCCCUACGGGGCGCAGCAGGCGCGAAACCUCUGCAAUGCGGGAAACCGUGACAGGGGGAUUCCAAGUGCUCAUGCAUUGCAUGGGCUGUUCUUUGGUCUAAGUAACCAGAGGAGUAAGGGCUGGGCAAGACCGGAGCCAGCCGCCGCGGUAAUACCGGCAGCUCGAGUGGUAGCCGCGAUUAUUGGGCCUAAAACGUUCGUAGCCGGAUAAGUAAGUCUUUGGUUAAAUCCUACGACUUAACCGUGGGAAAUCUAGAGAUACUGCUUGUCUUGAGACCGGGAGAGGUUGGAGGUACUCCCAGGGUAGGGGUGAAAUCCUGUAAUCCUGGGGGGACCACCUGUGGCGAAGGCGUCCAACUGGAACGGCUCUGACGGUGAGGGACGAAACCUAGGGGAGCGAGCCGGAUUAGAUACCCGGGUAGUCCUAGGCGUAAAUGAUGCGAGUUAAGUGUGGGGGCAUCUACGAGAUGGCCCUGUGCUGUAGGGUAGCCGUUAAACUCGCUGCCUGGGGAGUACGGUCGCAAGGCUGAAACUUAAAGGAAUUGGCGGGGGAGCACCACAAGAGGUGGAGGCUGCGGUUCAAUUGGAUUCAACGCCGGG